ACAACCAGGAUGUUGGCUUAGAAGCAGCCACUCAUUAAAAGAGUGCGUAAUAGCUCACUGGUCGAGUGACCCUGCGCCGAAAAUUCAACGGGGCUAAACAAUGUACCGAAGCUUGGGAUUCUAAAGUAAUUUAGAGUGGUAGGAGAGCGUCGAAUAAGGGGUGAAGUCAGAGCGGAAGCGCUGGUGGACUUUAUUCGAGUGAGAAUGCCGGAAUGAGUAGCGAGAAUUAUGUGAGAAUCAUAAUGGCCGAAAAUCUAAGGUUUCCUGAGGAAGGUUCGUCCGCUCAGGGUAAGCCGGGAGCUAAGGCGAGGCGGAGACGCGUAGCCGAUGCACAUACGGUUGAAAUUCCGUAGCCACCGAAAGAUUUAAGUACAGGGACGCUUUAGAAGUGAUGUUGCCGGGCGAUGGUUGACCCGGUCGUAAGGGAUCGAAAAUGAGUAGAGAAGUCAUCAUGGAAAGAGACAAGAAAAGCUGUAUGAAUAUCUUAGGUGCCCGUACCGCAAACCGACACAGGUAGAUAGGAAGAAGAUUCUAAGGCCAACGGGAGAAGGGUUGUUAAGGAACUCGGCAAGUUGACCCCGUAACUUAGGGAUAAGGGGUGCUCAAGUGAUUGAGCCGCAGAGAAUAGGCCCAGGCGACUGUUUAGCAAAAACACAGGUCUCUGCUAAAUCGAAAGAUGACGUAUAGGGGCUGACACCUGCCCGGUGCCGGAAGGUUAAGAGGAGAUGUGAGAGCAUUGAAUUGAAGCCCCGGUAAACGGCGGCCGUAACUAUAACGGUCCUAAGGUAGCGAAAUUCCUUGUCAGGUAAGUUCUGACCCGCACGAAAGGUGUAACGAUCUGGGCACUGUCUCAACAACCCGCCCGGCGAAAUUGUAGUACCGGUGAAGAUGCCGGUUACCCGCGACUAGACGGAAAGACCCCAUGGAGCUUUACUGUAGCCUAAUAUUGGAUUUCGGUAUUUCACGUACAGGAUAGGUGGGAGACUGGGAAGCACAGGCGUCAGCUUGUGUGGAGUCGACCUUGGGAUACCACUCUUGGAGUGCUGGAAUUCUAACCUGCGGCUUUGAAGCAAGUCGGGGGACAUUGUUAGGUGGGCAGUUUGACUGGGGCGGUCGCCUCCUAAAGAGUAACGGAGGCGCUCAAAGGUUCGCUCUGCAUGGAUGGAAACCAUGCGUCAGAGUGUAAACGCAAAAGCGAGCCUAACUGCGAGAAUGACGGUUCGAGCAGUAACGAAAGUUGGAGUUAGUGAUCCGGCGGUAUGUGAAUGGAAAUGCCGUCGCUCAACGGAUAAAAGCUACCCUGGGGAUAACAGGCUGAUCU
rnacentral:rRNA from 1 species